UCAAACUUGGUCAUUUAGAGGAAGUAAAAGUCGUAACAAGGUUUCCGUAGGUGAACCUGCGGAAGGAUCAUUAACGAGUUUUUGAAAGGGGUUGUAGCUGGCCAAAAACAAAGGCAUGUGCACACCCUGCUCAAUUCCACUCUCACACCCCUGUGCACUUACUGUAGGCUAUGGUCGGAUAGCUGACUUCGGUUGGUUUGAAAGCCUUGCUUAUGUUAUUACAAACGCUUCAGUUAAAGAAUGUCAUACCGCGUAUAACGCAUUAAAUACAACUUUCAACAACGGAUCUCUUGGCUCUCGCAUCGAUGAAGAACGCAGC
rnacentral:misc_RNA from 1 species